AGAGGGUGCAAGCGUUGUUCGGAAUUAUUGGGCGUAAAGCGCGUGUAGGCGGCUUUGCAAGUCGGGUGUGAAAGCCCUCGGCUCAACCGAGGAAGUGCGCCCGAAACUGCAGAGCUUGAGUACCGGAGAGGAUGGCGGAAUUCCCCAAGUAGAGGUGAAAUUCGUAGAUAUGGGGAGGAACACCGGUGGCGAAGGCGGCCAUCUGGACGGAUGCUGACGCUGAGACGCGAAAGCGUGGGGAGCAAACAGGAUUAGAUACCCUGGUAGUCCACGCCGUAAACGAUGAGAACUAGGUGUCGUGGGUGUUGACCCCCGCGGUGCCGUAGCCAACGCAUUAAGUUCUCCGCCUGGGAAGUACGGCCGCAAGGCUA
rnacentral:rRNA from 1 species